AGUACUUGGAGUAAUGCACUCAUUUAGCUACCUAUUAGUCAAAAAACAAAACUUUAAUCAGAUUAAAAUCAGUUUUGAAGUGAAUGUACUCAGUCUUAAUUAUAUUUUAGAAGAGAAACAAAAGAGAAGGACCCCCUUUACACAAAUGAACUCUUCACAAUAUGAACAUGGUACCUUCAUUUGGAAAUUGCUCCCAAGGAUGAACCAGACUUGUGGAGGUCUACAAUUUUUGUUUCUGAGGUCUUGGCUGAUUUCUUUUGAUUUUCCCAUGAUGUUAAGCAAAGAGGCACUGAGUUUGAAGGACAAUGGCAAGUAUUUAAGAGGAAUUUGUGGUGGUGGCGUUGUGGGCUAAAGCACAUAACUGGUAAUCAGAAGGUUGCUGGUUCGAUCCCCACAGCCACCACCAUUGUGUCCUUGAGCAAGGCACUUAACUCCAGGUUGCUCCGGGGGUAUUGUCCCUGUAAUAAGUACACUGUAAGUCGCUUUGGAUAAAAGCAUCUGCCAAAUGCAUAAAUAUAAAUGUCAUAAGCUGGGUGAGCUGUAUGUUAAUGUUCUUCAUUAGUGUGUCUGUUAUCAGAUAACUGAGCCUAAGGAUCUGAAGGUCAUUAUGGUGACAAUGAGUCAAGCGAAGGGGGUCCUCCCCAGCAAUUAGGCAAAUCUGCUUGGUUCAUGUGUCAUUGAUGUUGCAUAGAUUGUCAUAUGUUACACAUAGUUUUGACAGUCUUUAAUUCAUGCAUUAUAUAUGUAUAUUGGCUAAUUAUCUC